UACGUAGGGGGCAAGCGUUGUCCGGAUUUAUUGGGCGUAAAGAGCGUGUAGGCGGCCAUACAGGUCCGUUGUGAAAACUCGAGGCUCAACCUCGAGACGUCGAUGGAAACCGUAUGGCUAGAGUCCGGAAGAGGAGAAUGGAAUUCCUGGUGUAGCGGUGAAAUGCGCAGAUAUCAGGAAGAACACCCGUGGCGAAGGCGGUUCUCUGGGACGGUACUGACGCUGAGACGCGAAAGCGUGGGGAGCGAACAGG
rnacentral:rRNA from 1 species